UACGGGGGGGGCAAGCGUUGUUCGGAAUUACUGGGCGUAAAGGGCUCGUAGGUGGCCAACUAAGUCAGACGUGAAAUCCCUCGGCUUAACCGGGGAACUGCGUCUGAUACUGGAUGGCUUGAGUAUGGGAGAGGGAUGCGGAAUUCCAGGUGUAGCGGUGAAAUGCGUAGAUAUCUGGAGGAACACCGGUGGCGAAGGCGGCAUCCUGGACCAUUACUGACGCUGAGGAGCGAAAGCCAGGGGAGCAAACGGG
rnacentral:rRNA from 1 species